rnacentral:rRNA from 1 species
UGGGUAACCUGCCUCAAAGAGGGGAAUAGCCUCCCGAAAAGGGAGAUUAAUACCGCAUAAUAUGUUUAGGUCGCAUGACUUUAACAUCAAAGGAUUUUCUUUUAGAAAUUCCACUUUGAGAUGGACCCGCGGCGCAUUAGCUAGUUGGUGAGGUAACGGCUCACCAAGGCAACGAUGCGUAGCCGACCUGAGAGGGUGAUCGGCCACAUUGGAACUGAGACACGGUCCAGACUCCGUAGGGAGG